GAAUAUAACUAAUUGUUACGCGUGUUUUUAAAGUACAAAGCAAACUUACUUUACAUGCAAAUUUUUGCGAUACAAAAUCAGUAUUUAAUCGUUGAUUCAAAAGCAGUUUCGUGAAGAACAGGAAGAACAAAGUUAUGGACUCACUCCAUUUGGAACGAGCUGUCCAACAAUCGCGUUUAAGCUGUAUAUGAAAUUUUCAUUGUUCCCAUUCUACAUAUCGCACGAUAUCAUCCUACUUGUCGAAUAUCGUAUCUAGCCGUGUAUAAAUGCAAUUCAGUUGGAGAAUAAAAGGAGGAGAGAAAGAUGGUGAAAAAGAAAGAGAGGAAGGGAGAGAGCAAAUUUAAAAACUUAAACUAAAUAAUUAGGCCAUGGGAAAUAUAUUUACCGCUUUGCUUUUGCAGACUAUAAGUUAUAAGCAGAUAUGCGAAAUGGCUGAGAAAUAUCGUCAGGAUAGAUAUUUAUUCAUCUCUUAUAUUGUUACGGAAAAUGCGACGUUGCAGGUGCGUUAAACAAAGGUUAAGUAAACAUAGUCCUUGGGGUCAAACAUAAAAUUUUUUGAGCUUUGCAGUAAGGACGAAAGAGUAACGCGUAGGGGCUGAGACAUUUUGGCACCACGUGCACCUGAACAUCUUCUUCUUCUUCUUCUUGCUUGUAUCGUGCAUGUUUCAGAACUCCGAAUUGUGGUCAUAUUCAUUGUCUUCUUCUCUUGUAAGGAAAUAAAAAAAAUUCUAGAAUUAUUAUCUUUAAAGCAGUACGCUCUCUAAAGCAUAACAUACACACACACA